UACAGAGGUCCCGAGCGUUGUUCGGAUUCAUUGGGCGUAAAGGGUGCGUAGGCGGUCUUCUAAGUUUGAUGUGAAAUCCCGGGGCUCAACCCCGGAACUGCAUUCGAUACUGCUGCGCUAGAGUACUGGAGAGGAGAUUGGAAUUUACGGUGUAGCAGUGAAAUGCGUAGAUAUCGUAAGGAACACCGGUGGCGAAGGCGGCGACCUGGGACAAUACUGACGCUGAGGUGCGAAAGCGUGGGGAGCAAACGGG
rnacentral:rRNA from 1 species